UACGUAGGGGGCUAGCGUUGUCCGGAUUUAUUGGGUGUAAAGAGCGUGUAGGCGGCCAGGUAAGUCCGGUGUGAAAACUCGAGGCUUAACCUCGAGAUGUCAUCGGAAACUAUUUGGCUAGAGUCCGGAAGAGGAGAGUGGAAUUCCUGGUGUAGCGGUGAAAUGCGCAGAUAUCAGGAAGAACACCUAUGGCGAAGGCAGCUCGCUGGGACGUUACUGACGCUGAGACGCGAAAGCGUGGGGAGCAAACAGG
rnacentral:rRNA from 1 species